GGGCUGUUGAACGACAGAAAUAUGGCUAAUGUAAUUGAGAAACUGAAAAUUUAAUUUACAUGUACAUUUACGAUGAAAUAGCCAGACAUGGCUACUAUUAUAAUGGACAACGCAUUUUUACAAAUUAUGAGUUGACUUUAUUAUACCAGCCUCUAUCUCAUACUUCCUUAUUAUCUUCAAAACACAAUCGAUCAGGAACAAAAACGUAAUCUCAAGCUUCUAGAAAUCUGGCACACUCACCAAAGAACUGAAUACUCCUUUGCAGUCAGGUGGGGGCCAUGCAACUAGAUAUGGCCAAAGAACUCUGAGUGGAAGUGACAUGUGUGUCUCUCAGGCUGAGGUAAUGAAGACUUAGUAUGCCUUAACACCCUUCUCCUCCCUUGCAGACCAUGUGUUCCAGAAAACAUAACUAGAAAGAUGUGAGAAGGCACUUCAUGUGGGAGAUAAGCCUUGUUUUACUUAAUCCACUGAGAUGUCAGAGUUCAUUGUUACAGCAGCAGCCUGUUGUACAGGCUGACUAACACAUGGUAACUAAGAGAACACUUUGGAUUCUUGACAAAAUAAGAGCAAGAAAGCAGCAGCAAAAGCAGAAUUCAGAGGGGUGAGAAACCAAAAGCAACAGAGCAAAUUUGCAUGGUAUUCCGAGAUUUCUCUGUGGGAACUUCUUGGGUCAGAACAUAAUCCGCAUGUCCACUGUUAUCUCCCAGACCCUUAAUAGUGCAGGAAAUCAUGAAUUGUAAUUCCCAAUGUCACAGCCUUGUGAGAGUUGCAGAGCCUUCAGGACAGCAUACUAUCAUGUAGUGUUGGGAGCCAGCUCUAGGCCACGUAGCCCAGCUGUGAAUUCUGGCUGUGCGACCUGCCAGUG
rnacentral:lncRNA from 1 species